CCAAUAGCGUAUAUUAAAGUUGUUGCAGUUAAAAAGCUCGUAGUUGAAUUUCGGGGUUAGUAGGUUGGUCAUGCCUCUGGUAUGUACUGGUCUCACUGAUUCCUCCUUCCUGAUGAACCGUAAUGCCAUUAAUUUGGUGUUGCGGGGAAUUUGGACUGUUACUUUGAAAAAAUUAGAGUGUUUAAAGCAAGCUAACGCUUGAAUACAUUAGCAUGGAAUAAUGAAAUAGGACGUUCGAUCCUAUUUUGUUGGUUUCUAGGAUUGACGUAAUGAUGAAUAGGGAUAGUUGGGGGCAUUAGUAUUCAAUUGUCAGAGGUGAAAUUCUUGGAUUUAUUGAAGACUAACUACUGCGAAAGCAUUUGCCAAGGAUGUUCUCAUUAAUCAAGAACGAAAGUUAGGGGAUCGAAGACGAUCAGAUACCGUCGUAGUCUUAACCAUAAACUAUGCCGACUAGGGAUCGGAUGAUGUUAAUUUUUUAAUGACUCAUUCGGCGCCUUAC
rnacentral:rRNA from 1 species